UACGUAUGGGGCAAGCGUUAUCCGGAAUUAUUGGGCGUAAAGAGUACGUAGGUGGCAACCUAAGCGCAGGGUUUAAGGCAAUGGCUCAACCAUUGUUCGCCCUGCGAACUGGGAUGCUUGAGUGCAGGAGAGGAAAGCGGAAUUCCUAGUGUAGCGGUGAAAUGCGUAGAUAUUAGGAGGAACACCAGUGGCGAAGGCGGCUUUCUGGACUGUAACUGACACUGAGGUACGAAAGCGUGGGGAGCAAACAGG
rnacentral:rRNA from 1 species